GGCUGUCCUGGCCUCAGGAAGCAGGUUCAUAGGGCUGUCCUGGCCUCAGGAAGCAGGUUCAUAGGGCUGUCCUGGCCUCAGGAAGCAGGUUCAUAAGGCUGUCCUGGUCUCAGGAAGCAGGUUCAUAGGGUUGUCCUGGCCUCAGGAAGCAGGUCCUCUGUGGUUCAUUCUCUCCAGAUCUGUGUAAGAAUGGUGUUAUUUCUCAUUUCAGAACUUCGGAAAUUCAGAGGACACCAGACUGGUUAUUCAACAGACACCAGCAUAAGAAGGUUGCAAACUAAAAAAAAAAAAAAAAAAAA